GACAGAGGGGGCAAGCGUUGCUCGGAAUCACUGGGCGUAAAGGGCGCGUAGGCGGGAUGGCAAGUCGGUCGUGAAAUCUCUCGGCUCAACCGAGAAACGUCGGCCGAUACUGCCGUUCUUGAGGGAUGCAGAGGAGACUGGAAUUCCCGGUGUAGCGGUGAAAUGUGUAGAGAUCGGGAGGAACACCGGUGGCGAAGGCGGGUCUCUGGGCAUUUCCUGACGCUGAGGCACGAAGGCCAGGGGAGCAAACGGG
rnacentral:rRNA from 1 species